UCCCUGGUAGUUCAGUGGUUAGGACUCAGUGUUUUCAUUGCUGAGGCCCGGGUCCAAUCCCCGGUCAGGGAA
rfam:Ovis aries breed Texel chromosome 5, whole genome shotgun sequence.